rnacentral:rRNA from 1 species
UACGUAGGGUGCAAGCGUUAAUCGGAAUUACUGGGCGUAAAGCGUGCGCAGGCGGUUCGUUAAGACCGAUGUGAAAUCCCCGGGCUUAACCUGGGAACUGCAUUGGUGACUGGCAGGCUUUGAGUGUGGCAGAGGGAGGUAGAAUUCCACGUGUAGCAGUGAAAUGCGUAGAGAUGUGGAGGAAUACCGAUGGCGAAGGCAGCCUCCUGGGCCAACACUGACGCUCAUGCACGAAAGCGUGGGGAGCAAACAGG